AAAAAUCUGUUCACAUUUAGCCUCCCAAUCUUGAUACACAUUAGGAUCACUAUCCCCAUUGAAACUAGGAAUUUUCACCGAAGGUAGCUUGGCCUUUGCAUCACGGUAGUAGCCAUCUUCAUGUUUAUCUUCAUGAGCAUAAGGUGGUCUAUAUCCAUGAAAGUUGGGUUGAGGUCUCCUUCUUCUAUGUUCUUCUUCACGUCCAUGAUCAUUGGAAGAGCCUCUUGAUGAAGGUCUAUGAGAAUGCCGUGAACCAUGGUGAGAAUGAG
rnacentral:lncRNA from 1 species